AGGGGAUUGAUGAUAAGGUUAUAGUUGUAAUUUUUCUUGGAGGAGGAAAAGAGUUUACAUCAGUUGUUCUUGAUGGUGGUUCUAAUUCUGAUCAGCAACCAGUCGUGUUUUUCUGCCAACUGAGGUGGAACUUCAAACUAGCAACAGUGGUGACAUAAGUGAGAAUGAUGCAAUAUUUAAUUACAGGAGGAAGUAUCUUCCCACUCAGCAGGAGAGUUAUCUAGCAGGGAUGAGAAGAUAAAUAAAGCACUAAAACAGGCUACAGAAAAGGAGAUAUCUCAGAGUGCUGAUGUCAUCUGUUGCACAUGUGUUGGUUCAGGGGACCCACAGUUGGCAAAUUUUAGAUUCCGCCAGGUGCUUAUUGAUGAAUCUACUCAAUCCACAGAUUCCGAGUGUCUUAUACCUCCUGUUCUUGGGGCAAAACAGGUAUAUUAUAUAUAGCUACAAAAUUUAUAUAACUUCUACAAUGAAGCUCUUUAACAAAUAUAUCAUGUUUAGACCUAAGUCAAUUUGUUUCACUUAAAACAUUCUCAAUUUUAUGAUAUCUCAUGUUUAAUUUUUAUUUUUUUUUUAUAUAUCUGAGGUUUGAUUUUUGGUGAUAGUGAAAAUAAAAUCCAAAAUCUAUAAUCGGCUGCAAAAUAAAUCCAGUAAAAAAGGUAACAUAGAUGCAUAAAUUUGAGGUUUCAAACUAUGGGUGCCUAAGAUCUGGUUUUGUGUUUAUAAUAUAUAUGAUGCUUUUAUCUGUUUUGGCUCUGACUUCUCCUGUAUUUCAACUGAUUUUAUAGCAAAAGGUCUUUUAGAGGUUCAUACAGAGGAUAGGGAAAGAGGUUUUGCUCUGAUUUGGUAUAUCAUUUGGUUAUCUUCAGUUUACAAAUAAGUUAUAUCUUUAGAU